rnacentral:lncRNA from 1 species
UCAAUGCUAGAUUGUUGCAUAUUUUUAUUGCACUAAAAGUAGGUUAGGUCUGAAAAUAGUUAGUUUUACACAAGUUUUGUUCACUUAGGAUUCGAGUUUUAGAGUUUUACUACAAUAUCUAUUGGGAUUUGAAACGGUUAUGUUUGUUUGGGAUUAUUCUUGUUAUCGUCAUAAAACCCUUUCUUCUAGUAUUCGAAUGAUGUCAGUAUUAUUUGAAAUAAAUUCAAAUUUCAGUUUCUACUAGGUGACACAAAAUGUAUCACCUAUUUUAUUUGACUACUUGAGUAUUAAACAAUUCGCCGUGUGGCUCGACUUGUACAUACUAGGUCAACCCUAGAUCAGAAACCACCUGGGUUGUCUCAAAAAAUCCGGUCACUUGAGAACAUCCAAGUUUUUAGAGAUAGUGUCGAGGAGGAGUCAUCAACAUGGACGCGAAAACGCGCAACGCAGUAGUCCAUUUCUCGGCGGUGUCUUCAAAGAAUUUUCGAACAACAUGCAGAUGAUUCAAGAACUGGUGCCGAUCGCCAAACUGAUAUGGCAUACAGUAAGAGGUUGUUGCAGCUGAAUAACGAAGCGCCAGAUUUUUUUUAGAAAUUGAUGAUGAGAUAUGGGGCGUAUUUCCACCGCUCUGGACAUGUAAAGAAACAAAAUACCCAGUUUUGAGCAACCAGUAAUAAUCGUGUUCUCUAUGAGACACCACUCUAUAGACAAAAAGAGUAUGGUGAAGAAGACAAUGGAAACUCGGUAACUGUCACAGACGAACGGUGCCGAGUCAUGGUGAACGACUUCUUAAUACCGAAACCGUUUGAGUUGAAUUUCUAGGAUUUGUGUUUCUAUCAAAACGGUACCAUGGUGGUUGGAAUCGUCAGGAAUAACUAUGUUAAGAGAAGUGGGUUUUCGAAAGAUUUCAAAAUUAAAGUUUUGAUGCUCUCUAUCAAUAGUUAAAUCAAGAAAAUUAAGUUUCUUAUCACACCACUGUAACAGCCACAAACUUGCUGCAUUCCGCUCAUACAUUGAUCGCGUCUUUUCAUACCCCAUUAGCAAUACAUCCAGAUUUAAAGAACUUAAUUUUAUCUUCAAACCUUCAUCUAAAUAUGGAUUUCCCAAAGGAAUCAUUGAUAACAUUCUGUACAGAAAUAUUAUUAAACACGAUCCUCUAUAUACACCAACAAUAAAAUCCAAUAAUAUUUUCAAGUCACUCACUUACAACAGAAUUAACUGUAAAAUUAAACAUCUUUUACAACAAUAUAACGUAAACAUAAGUUUCAAAGGCAAUAAUCAGCUUAUUGACAUUUUUUCGAAUUACAAACAGAUUGAGAAAGAUUGUAACAAUAGUGGUGUUUAUUCUAUAAAGUGUAAGAAUUGUCAAGCUAUUUACAUCGGUCAGACUGGUAGGAAAUUACACACAAGAAUGCAAGAACACAAAAAUAGGCUAUCAUCUAACGUUUUUAAACACCACAUCGAAACAGGUCAUAUUAUUGACUAUGACAACGUUAAAUUAAUUCAUAAAUGUGAUAAGGGUCUUAAACUUCACUUAUUGGAAAGACUAGAAAUUGAUAAAGAGAAAAAAAAUAUGAAUUCCAACCUACUUAAUGAUCAAAGUAAUGAUGAUUUCUAUAAACCGUUGUUUUCUUUUCUUAAAUAUUAAUAAUUUUUUGAUGAUGUUUAUAUUCUUUUUAAUUUUGGUUACAUGAAUACCGAUUUUUAUUCGUCAAUAUUUCUUGUUUGACCGCUUCAUUGUGUUUCUUCUCGUGUUGUUUGACAGACAUUUUUCCUUUCUUAUUUUGGUCGUUCGUUCUAUAAUUUUAUUUUGUUUAGAAGUGGUUUAUUUUUAAAAUACUUUAUAAGUAUUUUUGAUUGUGAUUAUGUGUUGAACGUGUUUAUUCUUUGAUGUAUUUUAUCUUUUUACACCUUUGACUAUUUGGCUGAUGAUGACGAAAGUCGAAACAUGUACCAUGUAAAUUUAAAUAUAUUU